rnacentral:rRNA from 1 species
GAUGAACGCUGGCGGCGUGCCUAAUACAUGCCAGUCGAGCGAACGGACGAGAAGCUUGCUUUUCUGAUGUUAGCGGCGGACGGGUGAGUAACACGUGGAUAACCUACCUAUAAGACUGGGAUAACUUCGGGAAACCGGAGCUAAUACCGGAUAAUAUUUUGAACCGCAUGGUUCAAAAGUGAAAGACGGUCUUGCUGUCACUUAUAGAUGGAUCCGCGCUGCAUUAGCUAGUUGGUAAGGUAACGGCUUACCAAGGCAACGAUGCAUAGCCGACCUGAGAGGGUGAUCGGCCACACUGGAACUGAGACACGGUCCAGACUCCUACGGGAGGCAGCAGUAGGGAAUCUUCCGCAAUGGGCGAAAGCCUGACGGGGCAACGCCGCGUGAGUGAUGAAGGUCUUCGGAUCGUAAAACUCUGUUAUUAGGGAAGAACAUAUGUGUAAGUAACUGUGCACAUCUUGACGGUACCUAAUCAGAAAGCCACGGCUAACUACGUG